rnacentral:rRNA from 1 species
GAUGAACGCUGGCGGCGUGCCUAAUACAUGCAAGUCGAGCGAACAGACGAGGAGCUUGCUCCUCUGACGUUAGCGGCGGACGGGUGAGUAACACGUGGAUAACCUACCUAUAAGACUGGGAUAACUUCGGGAAACCGGAGCUAAUACCGGAUAAUAUAUUGAACCGCAUGGUUCAAUAGUGAAAGACGGUUUUGCUGUCACUUAUAGAUGGAUCCGCGCCGCAUUAGCUAGUUGGUAAGGUAACGGCUUACCAAGGCGACGAUGCGUAGCCGACCUGAGAGGGUGGUCGGCCACAUUGGAACUGAGACACGGUCCAGACUCCUACGGGAGGCAGCAGUAGGGAAUCUUCCGCAAUGGGCGAGAGCCUGACGGAGCAACGCCGCGUGAGUGAUGAAGGUCUUCGGAUCGUAAAACUCUGUUAUUAGGGAAGAACAAAUGUGUAAGUAACUAUGCACGUCUUGACGGUACCUAAUCAGAAAGCCACGGCUAACUACGUG